rnacentral:tRNA from 1 species
UUGAUAGAAACCAAAUAGAGGUAUAUUACUGUUAAUAAUAAAACUGAACUUUCUAGUUCCUAUCAAG